rnacentral:lncRNA from 1 species
CGAAGACAAGAAAAGAAAUUUGCAUUUAAAAUUUGGACUCCCAAGACAUCUCCUCCUUUCUUUAUACUCUCUCUCAAAUUUUCGCAACGUGUUGUAUCAGUUUACAUGCACAUACAGCGGUGCAAACAGAUGAUAAGGCUUGACUCUGAUAAUAGGUAAAUCCCGAUACUUGAGAAAAAAUGCAUAUCAAUUUUUGUAAUUUCAUCUUAAACCCUUUUUACUAUUUCUACUAAUUGGAUUUUGGGCUUUUGUAGAUUUCGGGUGUUUCUGGAUUUCACUUUUGAAGAGGUCGGAUUGUGUUUAUUCGACCAAUAACUUUCUUUAUUAUUUAAAGGUAAGCCAAUCUAGGUAGAGUUACCUCUUUUUCGAUGUUUGAAUUUGAUAUUCAUGUACAUUUCCUUUUUGGGUUCUAUACUUGUGUGUAUAUUUAUUUAAAAUCGUAGAUUUUAGGAUUUAUUUAUUCAUGAUUAUGUAUACUAUGAGUCUUUUUGUACUAAAUAGCUGUUUGCUGUUUGGUAUUCAGUCUGUUGCAUAUAGUGCUAAGUUUAGGCCUUUGAAUACGAGGGCAAGUGAAGGAACUAGUUUGUCAUGGCAUAUCUUUCAUACAUUCAGGAGAGUGACCAUACUUUCCCAUGAGAGAAACAAUACAAGAAGUAUCACACUUGAUAUGUGUCCAAACCUAAGCCCUUGUAAAUUUUUUCUCAAUUGCGAAAGAGCUUUCUCGAAUCUUUUAUGUGCAUUGCUCUGUCUUGCUCUCAUGCACCCUACUCAAGUCUUCGUGAAAUCACUUAAUAUGGAUGAAAUAAUUUGCUUGUUUAGCACACUUGGGUUGUCUCAAAGUCAAAGCCUAAUAAAUACACUGAGACACCAAUCUGCCUCCGCACCUAGGAUUGCUUGUAUUCGAAGACGCCUAGCUUGCACUAUGCAUCUGAUAAAUAAAAUAUA